GAUGAACGCUGGCGGCGUGCCUAAUACAUGCAAGUCGAGCGAACGGACGAGAAGCUUGCUUCUCUGAUGUUAGCGGCGGACGGGUGAGUAACACGUGGAUAACCUACCUAUAAGACUGGGAUAACUUCGGGAAACCGGAGCUAAUACCGGAUAAUAUUUUGAACCGCAUGGUUCAAAAGUGAAAGACGGUCUUGCUGUCACUUAUAGAUGGAUCCGCGCUGCAUUAGCUAGUUGGUAAGGUAACGGCUUACCAAGGCAACGAUGCAUAGCCGACCUGAGAGGGUGAUCGGCCACACUGGAACUGAGACACGGUCCAGACUCCUACGGGAGGCAGCAGUAGGGAAUCUUCCGCAAUGGGCGAAAGCCUGACGGAGCAACGCCGCGUGAGUGAUGAAGGUCUUCGGAUCGUAAAACUCUGUUAUUAGGGAAGAACAUAUGUGUAAGUAACUGUGCACAUCUUGACGGUACCUAAUCAGAAAGCCACGGCUAACUACGUGCCAGCAGCCGCGGUAAUACGUAGGUGGCAAGCGUUAUCCGGAAUUAUUGGGCGUAAAGCGCGCGUAGGCGGUUUUUUAAGUCCGAUGUGAAAGCCCACGGCUCAACCGUGGAGGGUCAUUGGAAACUGGAAAACUUGAGUGCAGAAGAGGAAAGUGGAAUUCCAUGUGUAGCGGUGAAAUGCGCAGAGAUAUGGAGGAACACCAGUGGCGAAGGCGACUUUCUGGUCUGUAACUGACGCUGAUGUGCGAAAGCGUGGGGAUCAAACAGGAUUAGAUACCCUGGUAGUCCACGCCGUAAACGAUGAGUGCUAAGUGUUAGGGGGUUUCCGCCCCUUAGUGCUGCAGCUAACGCAUUAAGCACUCCGCCUGGGGAGUACGACCGCAAGGUUGAAACUCAAAGGAAUUGACGGGGACCCGCACAAGCGGUGGAGCGUGUGGUUUAAUUCGAAGCAACGCGAAGAACCUUACCAAAUCUUGACAUCCUUUGACAACUCUAGAGAUAGAGCUUUCCCCUUCGGGGGACAAAGUGACAGGUGGUGCAUGGUUGUCGUCAGCUCGUGUCGUGAGAUGUUGGGUUAAGUCCCGCAACGAGCGCAACCCUUAAGCUUAGUUGCCAUCAUUAAGUUGGGCACUCUAAGUUGACUGCCGGUGACAAACCGGAGGAAGGUGGGGAUGACGUCAAAUCAUCAUGCCCCUUAUGAUUUGGGCUACACACGUGCUACAAUGGACAAUACAAAGGGCAGCGAAACCGUGAGGUCAAGCAAAUCCCAUAAAGUUGUUCUCAGUUCGGAUUGUAGUCUGCAACUCGACUACAUGAAGCUGGAAUCGCUAGUAAUCGUAGAUCAGCAUGCUACGGUGAAUACGUUCCCGGGUCU
rnacentral:rRNA from 1 species